UUACUAACAAACUUACAGCCAAUUCAAA
rnacentral:sRNA from 1 species